rnacentral:sRNA from 1 species
UGUCAACCAAAGCAUGAGCUGAUGCGAAC